rnacentral:lncRNA from 1 species
UAAAAGAGUUGAAUGAAUAAACAUAUGUGAAUUACAAACGAAUUACGAAUAAAUCAGAAUUUGUGAGUCCAUUUACAAAUGACUAACACUGUCAAUCGAAUAAUUAUAGCCAAAAGAAAACUAAACAAAUAAGGCUGAAUCAAAUGGUUGUAAGGUGACAACUUCAUACUGAGCUCAAAUCAAAUAGCCAAAGGCUAACAAAAUACGUCGGUAUCAUGAUGUAUACAAAUCAAAUCGGAUAGUACGCACGACACAUACGUCACUAACCCGCCAAAUAAAUCAAAUCAAAUACUGGGUCGACCCAUACGUAUCCUGAACAAAUAUAUCAAAUGACCAAAGCUCAUACCCAGAGCAUACAAAAGGAUACGCCGUAGACUGAUCAUACCGUCACGGAAGGUGUCAUGCCCUUGUGUCAAGAGGACAUGCCUGUGGUACCCCCACAGGUGGUUAGCUCAAGUAUACCCUAAGGAUCAAACUACAAAAUGUAAGCCAAAGGGGGUUCAAAUCACUAGGCUUACAUGACCAUAUUCAAAUGAAAUCGAAUUAUCAAAUACAAACAUUAUUAAUUAUCACAAUAUAUCAAUGAUCAAAAUAACUCCCGAAUGUGAACGAAAAUAUACGAACAAUAGUACAAACGAAUAAAGUCUCCAAAACGUAUUGACACGAUUAACUAGUUCAAAGAGUACAAAUACGAAUUCUAAUAUCAACGCUAAAGCAAAACUAUCUCAAUAAUUUUGUCAACAAAGAAUAAUCCUGAGAGGCAAUACCAAAUUUCUAAACGAGUACAAAACGAACAAAUUAAAUUUAAAGGAGUAUCGCUGAAAAAGUACGGAAUCCGUACCUUAAAAUAGUACCAAAAUAAUUCGCCGAAUUCAAAUAUCACCCGCUAAACUCCCUCAAUCCGAUCUAAUUAUCAAAAUAAAAUAUAAUACACAAUUAAAUUAUGAACUUAUACAGUUGAUAUUUUCAUAAAUUUAAUAAUUUUUUUAAUAUACUAUAUUCAGUUUGUAAUCAAAAGAUACAUUUUAAUUAUAAUAAAAAUAUUAUAAUAUUAUUUAUUACUUUCCCUUUUUAAAAUUUUGAAAAUCUUAUAUAUAUAUAUAUAUAACGAAACUGCAGUAAUUAUAUAUAUAACUAACCUACAGUAUAUAUAUAAUAUAACUAAUAUUGAAUUAGCAGCAGAAGCAGGUUAACGAAUAUAUAUAUAAAGGAGCAGAAGCNNNNNNNNNNNNNNNNNNNNNNNNNNNNNNNNNNNNNNNNNNNNNNNNNNNNNNNNNNNNNNNNNNNNNNNNNNNNNNNNNNNNNNNNNNNNNNNNNNNNACAAUUAUAAAUUAGACCCAAUUAAUUUUAAUGGCCCAAAUAAAUUAACUACAGUUUGACCCAAAUAUAAGAAAAGUCCAAUUAAAUAUUUUAAAGCUUACUUGAAUAUUUAUUAUUAUUUUAUUGGGUAUUACAUCACCUUCCCCUUAAAAAGGAUUCCGCCCCCGAAAUUAAAAGAAUGGAACGUAUCUAAUUUUCAAAAAGAUGCGGAUAUUCCGCUCGAAUAGACUCUUCCAUCUCCCAAGUAGUUUCCUGCUCCGAAUGGUUUUUCCACAAGACUUUAACAAAAGGAAUUGUCUUCCUCCUCAUAAUCCGUUCUUGACGAUCUAGAAUCGCCUCGGCUUCUUCCUCACAAGUAAGAUCUGCUUGAAUCUUAUGUAACGGGUAUUGCACAACAUGAAGCGGAUGAUAGUUAUAUUUCCUUUAACACCGAAACAUGAAAGAUAUUAUAUAAUGUACAUGAGAUAACUGUGGAGGCAAAGCCACCCGAUAUGCCACUUCUCCAACUCUCUCAAGGACUUCAAAAGGGCCAAUGAAACGCGGACUAAGCUUCCCUUUCAAACCAAAUCUUCGAACACCCUUCCAUGGAGAAACUUUCAAAAACACGUGUUCACCAGGUGUGAAUUCAAGAGCCCUCCUAUGAAUAUCAGCAUAACUCUUUUGCCGCGAUCUAGCUUCUUUCAACUUUUCUUUAGCCACUGCUACCUUCUCCGUAGUAAUCCUAACCAAAUCGGGUCCUUCUAUUACCCUUUCUCCAACCUCAUCCCAACAAGUCGGAGCUCGACACUUCUUACCAUAUAAUGCUUCAAAAGGGGCCAUACCAAUACUAGCUUGCUAACUAUUAUUAUAUGCGAACUCCACCAAACUCAAAUAAUCAUCCCAGUUCCCUGUCCAUUCUAAAGCACAAGAUCGCAACAUGUCUUCUAAUGUCUGAAUAGUUCUCUCUGAUUGUCCAUCUGUCUGCGGGUGAAAAGCUGUACUAUAAUUGAGUCGCGUUCACCAAGCCCGUUGAAAUCCUUUCCAAAAUCGAGAAGUAAACCGCGGAUCCCGAUCCAAAACAAUAGAAACUGGAGUCCCAUGAAGCCUAACAAUCUCACGUUGAAAAAUAUCUACUAACUUAUUCACCGAAAAAUCCUCACGAAUAGCCAAAAAAUGCGCCGAUUUGGUUAAACGAUCCACUAUCACCCAAAUAGCAUCAUUCUUUUUAAGAGUCCUCGGUAAUCCAAUCACAAAGUCCAUCGAAAUGUCAUCCCAUUUCCACACAGGAAUCUCUAACGGUUGCAACAAACCACCAGGACGCUGAUGCUCUAUUUUCACUUGCUGACAAGUAAGACAUUUACUCACAAAUUCAGCUACAUCCCUUUUCAUUCCGCUCCACCAGAAAUUCUCCUUCAGAUUCUUAUACAUCUUUGUAGACCUCAGAUGAAUAGAAAAUGGCGAACUAUGAGCUUCAGUCAACACUGCCUCACGAAUCAUUGGAUCCAUUGGAACACAUAACCGUUUACCAAACCAUAUCACACCUUGCUCAUCAAUGCAAAACUCUGGCUGCCUACCCUCAUCCAUAUUCUGCGCUACAGCCCACAACUCGCCAUCUUCCUUUUGGGCUUCUUUGAUCUGCAAAAUAAGAGAAGGUUCCACCCUCAUACCUGCUACCAACCCAUCAGAACUUCUAGCAUAUAGCUCCAAACCCACACGCUCCAUAUCCAAAAUAAGUUGAGGUUGUGUAACCAAGACAACUACACUCCCUGAACUUUUUCGACUAAGAGCAUCUGCAACCACAUUAGCCUUACCGGGGUGAUACUGAAUCCUGACAUCAUAAUCCUUAAGAAGCUCCAACCAACGCCUCUGCCUCUGCCUCAUGUUAAGCUCCUUCUGAGUAAAAAUAUAUUUAAGACUCUUGUGGUCGGUGAAAAUAUCACAAGUCUCUCCAUAUAGAUAGUGCCUCCAAAUCUUUAGGGCAAAAAUAACUGCUGCUAACUCCAAGUUCUGGGUAGGGUAAUUCACCUCAUAAGGUUUAAGUUGUCUGGAAGCAUAAGCAAUUACCUUACCAUUUUGCAUCAAAACACACCCUAAUCCCUUCUUGGAAGCAUCACUGUAAAUCUGAUAACCUCAUGUCCCCGACAGUAAUGUAAGCACUGGAGCCGACACAAGCCUCUUCUUAAGCUCCUCAAAACUUUUCUCACGUUCCUCAUUCCACACAAACUUUAUGCCCUUCUUUAUCAACUGAGUUAAUGACAAAGCUAACAAAGAGAAACCUUCCACAAAUCGCCUGUAGUACCCUGCCAAACCCAAGAAACUCCUAACUUCAGUUACCGUGGUAGGUCUUGGCCAAUUAGUGAUAGCCUCAACCUUCGCAGGAUCUACCUUAAUACCUUCAGCAGACACGACGUGUCCCAAAAAUGCUACCUGUUCUAACCAAAACUGGCAUUUGAAAAACUUAACAUAUAAUUUAUUCUUCUGCAGAACCCCCAAAACAGUACGAAGAUGCUCUUCAUGCUCCUCCUUAGACUUGGAAUACACCAAAAUGUCAUCAAUGAAGACAAUGACAAAUUGGUCCAAAUAAUCGCUAAAAACCCGAUUCAUCAUAUCCAUAAACACUGCCGGAGCAUUAGUCAACCCAAAUGACAUCACCAAAAACUCAUAGUGCCCAUACCGAGUACGAAAAGCUGUUUUUGGAAUGUCCUCUUCCCUUACCCUUAACUGAUGGUACCCCGACCUCAAAUCUAUCUUUGAGAAGAACUUUGCUCCUUGGAGCUGAUCAAAAAGGUCAUCUAUCCGUGGCAAUGGAUAUCUGUUCCUGAUAGUGAUUCGAUUUAGCUCCCUAUAAUCUAUACAUAAUCUCAUAGAUCCGUCCUUCUUCUUCACAAACAAGACUGGAGCACCCCAUGGCGAUACGCUCGGUCUAAUGAAUCCACGAUCUAACAACUCCUGCAAUUGUUCUUUCAACUCUUGUAACUCGAGCCAUCCUAUAGGGUGCCUUAGAGAUAGGUUCCGCUCCAGGAAUGAGCUCAAUGGUAAACUCAACUUCCUUUGGCGGUGGCAAUCCUUGCAGAUCCUUAGAAAAUACCUCAGGAAAUUCUCGCACAACUAGAUAGUCAUCCAGUUGGGGCUCAUCCCUCGAGGUAUCCUUCACAUAAGCCAAAUAACAAUCACGUCCCUUAGCAAUCAUUUUGCUCGCCUUCAAAGCUGAGAUUAACUUUACAACACCAUUCGGCUUUGAACAUUGAAACUCGAAUUUGGAGCCUAAGGUUCCAAAAAUAACCUUCCUCGCCUGACAAUCAAUAGUGGCUCGAUGCUUACUCAGCCAAUCCAUACCCAAGAUGAUAUCGAAAUCAUGCAUCACCAUCGGAAGUAAGUUAGCUGCGUACACCCUUCUCCCUAACUUCAAAGGACACUCCCGAAAGUGCUCAGAAAUAAUCACAGAAUUUCCCAUCGGGGUAGCAAUAGACAAAUGAGGAUCUAAUAUUUGAGAACACUCCAAGAUGACGAACAAAUGAAAGUGCAACACUAGUGUGUAGAUCCAGUGUCAAACAAAACCGAUGCCUCACGAUUUCCUACAAGAAGGAUGCCUGAAAUAAUACCUGGUGCUUGGGCCGCCUCAUUAGCUGUCAAUGCGAAUACUCUCCCACCAGUGUUGCGCUGACCGCCAUUACCAGCAUUACCGCCUCCCACAUUACCACGCUGAACUGUGCAGUCCCUUGCUCUCUGUCCCAUUUGUCCACAUAAGAAACAAGCACCUGUCUCUCUAUAGCAUGCCUUACCAGCAUGAUACCCGCCACAAGUAGCACGUGGACCAGGUGGAAGUGGCAAAAGGUUCGGAUUGCCCCCACCUGUCGGUCCUGGAUACCGCCCCUGAAUUUGACCCUGUUGGCGAUGCUGACCCUGAUUCUGAUUUUGCUGGAAGUCCCUGUUCUGUUGAAAUCCCCUAUUUUGAUACUGCCCUCCAGCUUGCCACUGGCCAUGCUGCUGACCUCCACGACCACCCUGCUGCAUUGGGUAAGCAAAAUCCCUUCGAGUAUUAAAUCGCUGACCCGAUGGAGGCUCAUUCCAAUUAUUUUGCCUUUAUAUUCUGAUUUCUGCCAAACUGCCCCAAUCCUUGCCCUUGCUGGUCAUCUCUAUCUCUCUUUCGACUCCCUUCUGAUUUGGAAGCUCGAAAGUCCUUGUGCUCCAUUUCCACACUCUUAUUUGCAUUGGCAACCUGUGAUACAUCUGUAAAUAUAGUGUGGAUGAUCGAUCUCCUAUACUCAUAUUUCAAAGCCCAUUUAAACUUUUCUGCCUGUUGUGCAGCUGUCCCAGCUAUUGAACCCGCAAAACCAGCCAAUCUCGUAAACCUCACUAUGAAAUCAGUAAUAGUCUCAUCAUCCUUCUGCCGAAUGGACACAAACUCCCUGAUGUAUGCAUCCCUAUCAGCGUUUGGAAAAUACUGCUGAUAGAAAAGGUCACAAAAACCGCUCCAUAUGAGUUCAUCCAUAAAUUCGUCUCCCUGUGUAGCCUUCAGCAAUUUCCACCAUCGCUGAGCAUCAUCCUCUAGCUUAUAAACUGCUAACCUCACCUUCUGAUUUUCUGAACACCCAAUCACAUCAAAAAUCUUCUCCAAGUAGGCGAUCCAGUUCUCCGCAUCAAUUGGAGUCGGAGCAAAACGAAAAGAGUUGGGCUUCUGCUUAAUGAACCUCUCUAAUAACACACACAAAGGCUGCACUUGCUGACCCACUUGAUCCUCGGGAGGAACGUUCUGCUCAUGUUGUGGUAUCUCUGCAUCAUCCCCUAUGUUAUUUGCAUGAUAAUUUUCUUGCAUCUGUGGAAUACCCUGCAUAGCCUGUGCCAUGGCCUGCGUAACUGCCUCAUUCACCAUUGCUGCUACCAUAGCCGGGGUUAUUGUUGCAUUACGCUGGGCCCCAUCAUUUCCACCCUGGUUAACAACCUCAACCUGGGGUUUCCUUUGACCCCUCCUACCGUUAUUACCCUGCCUCCCAGCAAUUCUCGAAGACCUACGAGCCAUCUAUGAUACAAAUCAACAAAUAAGAACAAACAGAUCAAAACAAAUAAUCGAAGCCAAAAUUAUUCAGAACGAAGAUCAAACGCAACACAACACUAUAAUAAAAUCUUAUAACUACCCAGUGAUCUACUCAUAACCCACAGGUCAAGCCUAAAAGGCAAUCUACAAGAUCAUAACCUAACCUCUGAUACCAACUUUGUAACACUCCCUUUCCGAAAAGGAAAAGGGAUGUCACGCACAAAACAUAAUAAACACAAACCUCUAAUAAAUCUCAAAAUAUCUCCAAUGAAAUUGAAGACUAAUUGUCACAUACUCCAAUUAAAAUAGAACUCCACACUUUUAUAGUCUCUACUAAUAAGAAAUAAAUGCUAAAAUGGCCCAAACAUCCAUAUCCAAAAUAUUAGGAAAAUCAAGUCUAAUGAUAAGUCUCAAAAACUAAUCUACUCAUUUGGAUCAAAGGUAGCUCUCAUCCCACAUAUCCUGAUCACCUCUGAUUACCUGCCGAAAAAGAACACAGCGUGAGCCAAUUGCCCAGUACGGAUAUGAAGAUGAAUAAAUAUAUUACAAUAAGUAAUGAAUCUAAAAGAGUUGAAUGAAUGAAUAUAUGUGAAUUACAAACGAAUUACGAAUAAAUCAGAAUUUGUGAGUCCAUUUACAAAUGACUAACACUGUCAAUCGAAUAAUUAUAGCCAAAAGAAUCCCAAACAAAUAAGGCUGAAUCAAAUGGUUGUAAGGUGACAACUUCAUACUGAGCUCAAAUCAAAUAGCCAAAGGCUAACAAAAUACAUCGGUAUCAUGAUGUAUACAAAUCAAAUCGGAU